rnacentral:rRNA from 1 species
CUAUGUGUUGUUGGGUAGGGGAGCGUUCUGUAAGCCUGUGAAGGUGUACUGUGAGGUAUGCUGGAGGUAUCAGAAGUGCGAAUGCUGACAUAAGUAACGAUAAAGCGGGUGAAAAGCCCGCUCGCCGGAAGACCAAGGGUUCCUGUCCAACGUUAAUCGGGGCAGGGUGAGUCGACCCCUAAGGCGAGGCCGAAAGGCGUAGUCGAUGGGAAACAGGUUAAUAUUCCUGUACUUGGUGUUACUGCGAAGGGGGGACGGAGAAGGCUAUGUUGGCCGGGCGACGGUUGUCCCGGUUUAAGCGUGUAGGCUGGUUUUCCAGGCAAAUCCGGAAAAUCAAGGCUGAGGCGUGAUGACGAGGCACUACGGUGCUGAAGCAACAAAUGCCCUGCUUCCAGGAAAAGCCUCUAAGCAUCAGGUAACAUCAAAUCGUACCCCAAACCGACACAGGUGGUCAGGUAGAGAAUACCAAGGCGCUUGAGAGAACUCGGGUGAAGGAACUAGGCAAAAUGGUGCCGUAACUUCGGGAGAAGGCACGCUGAUAUGUAGGUGAAGUCCCUUGCGGAUGGAGCUGAAAUCAGUCGAAGAUACCAGCUGGCUGCAACUGUUUAUUAAAAACACAGCACUGUGCAAACACGAAAGUGGACGUAUACGGUGUGACGCCUGCCCGGUGCCGGAAGGUUAAUUGAUGGGGUCAGCGCAAGCGAAGCUCUUGAUCGAAGCCCCGGUAAACGGCGGCCGUAACUAUAACGGUCCUAAGGUAGCGAAAUUCCUUGUCGGGUAAGUUCCGACCUGCACGAAUGGCGUAAUGAUGGCCAGGCUGUCUCCACCCGAGACUCAGUGAAAUUGAACUCGCUGUGAAGAUGCAGUGUACCCGCGGCAAGACGGAAAGACCCCGUGAACCUUUACUAUAGCUUGACACUGAACAUUGAGCCUUGAUGUGUAGGAUAGGUGGGAGGCUUUGAAGUGUGGACGCCAGUCUGCAUGGAGCCGACCUUGAAAUACCACCCUUUAAUGUUUGAUGUUCUAACGUUGACCCGUAAUCCGGGUUGCGGACAGUGUCUGGUGGGUAGUUUGACUGGGGCGGUCUCCUCCUAAAGAGUAACGGAGGAGCACGAAGGUUGGCUAAUCCUGGUCGGACAUCAGGAGGUUAGUGCAAUGGCAUAAGCCAGCUUGACUGCGAGCGUGACGGCGCGAGCAGGUGCGAAAGCAGGUCAUAGUGAUCCGGUGGUUCUGAAUGGAAGGGCCAUCGCUCAACGGAUAAAAGGUACUCCGGGGAUAACAGGCUGAUACCGCCCAAGAGUUCAUAUCGACGGCGGUGUUUGGCACCUCGAUGUCGGCUCAUCACAUCCUGGGGCUGAAGUAGGUCCCAAGGGUAUGGCUGUUCGCCAUUUAAAGUGGUACGCGAGCUGGGUUUAGAACGUCGUGAGACAGUUCGGUCCCUAUCUGCCGUGGGCGCUGGAGAACUGAGGGGGGCUGCUCCUAGUACGAGAGGACCGGAGUGGACGCAUCACUGGUGUUCGGGUUGUCAUGCCAAUGGCACUGCCCGGUAGCUAAAUGCGGAAGAGAUAAGUGCUGAAAGCAUCUAAGCACGAAACUUGCCCCGAGAUGAGUUCUCCCUGACUCCUUGAGAGUCCUGAAGGAACGUUGAAGACGACGACGUUGAUAGGCCGGGUGUGUAAGCGCAGCGAUGCGUUGAGCUAACCGGUACUAAUGAACCGUGAGGCUUAACCUUACAAC